AUGGUACUCCCUCCGUUCAAAAAUACUUGUCAUCAAAAUGGAAGAAAGAGGAUGUAUCUAGAUGUAUUUUAGUUCUAGAUACAUCUCUUUUUAUCUAUUUUGAUGACAAGUAUUUUCGGACGGAGGGAGUAUUAG
rnacentral:pre_miRNA from 1 species